rnacentral:rRNA from 1 species
CCUUCGGGGUGUUUUAGUGGCGAACGGGUGAGUAACACGUGGGCAAUCUGCCCUUCACUCUGGGACAAGCCCUGGAAACGGGGUCUAAUACCGGAUAAUACUCCUGCCUGCAUGGGUGGGGGUUGAAAGCUCCGGCGGUGAAGGAUGAGCCCGCGGCCUAUCAGCUUGUUGGUGGGGUAAUGGCCCACCAAGGCGACGACGGGUAGCCGGCCUGAGAGGGCGACCGGCCACACUGGGACUGAGACACGGCCCAGACUCCUACGGGAGGCAGCAGUGGGGAAUAUUGCACAAUGGGCGAAAGCCUGAUGCAGCGACGCCGCGUGAGGGAUGACGGCCUUCGGGUUGUAAACCUCUUUCAGCAGGGAAGAAGCGAAAGUGACGGUACCUGCAGAAGAAGCGCCGGCUAACUACGUGCCAGCAGCCGCGGUAAUACGUAGGGCGCAAGCGUUGUCCGGAAUUAUUGGGCGUAAAGAGCUCGUAGGCGGCUUGUCACGUCGGAUGUGAAAGCCCGAGGCUUAACCUCGGGUCUGCAUUCGAUACGGGCUAGCUAGAGUGUGGUAGGGGANAUCGGAAUUCCUGGUGUAGCGGUGAAAUGCNCAGAUAUCANGANNNANNACCGGUGGCGAANGCGGAUCUCUGGGCCAUUACUGACGCUGAGNANCNAAAGCGUGGGGAGCGAACAGGANNAGAUACCNUGGUAGUCCNCNNC